rnacentral:rRNA from 1 species
UACGUAGGUGGCAAGCGUUACUCGGAAUCACUAGGCGUAAAGCGCAGGUAGGCGGUUUGAUAAGUCUGUUGUGAAAGCUCCCGGCUCAACUGGGAGAGGCCAACGGAAACUGUCAGGCUUGAGUGUGGUAGAGGAAACUGGAAUUCCUGGUGUAGCGGUGAAAUGCGUAGAUAUCAGGAGGAACACCUAUGGCGAAGGCGGCUCACUGGCCCGGUACUGACGCUGAUAAGCGAAAGCGUGGGGAGCAAACAGG